UACGAAGGGGGCUAGCGUUGCUCGGAAUCACUGGGCGUAAAGGGUGCGUAGGCGGGUCUUUAAGUCAGGGGUGAAAUCCUGGAGCUCAACUCCAGAACUGCCUUUGAUACUGAAGAUCUUGAGUUCGGGAGAGGUGAGUGGAACUGCGAGUGUAGAGGUGAAAUUCGUAGAUAUUCGCAAGAACACCAGUGGCGAAGGCGGCUCACUGGCCCGAUACUGACGCCGAUGCACGAAAGCGUGGGGAGCAAACAGG
rnacentral:rRNA from 1 species